rnacentral:rRNA from 1 species
UUCCUACGGGAGGCAGCAGUGGGGAAUAUUGGACAAUGGGGGCAACCCUGAUCCAGCAACGCCGCGUGGGGGAUGAAGGUCUUCGGAUUGUAAACCCCUGUUAAGAGGGACGAAGGCUUUCGGGCGAACAGUCCGGAAGCUUGACGGUACCUAGAGGAAGCCCCGGCUAACUCUGUGCCAGCAGCCGCGGUAAUACAGAGGGGGCGAGCGUUAUUCGGAAUUAUUGGGCGUAAAGGGCGCGUAGGCGGCUGGGCAAGUCCAAGGUGAAAUCCCUCGGCUCAACCGAGGAACUGCCUUGGAAACUGCCCGGCUUGAGGCCGGGAGAGGGUAGUGGAAUUCCCAGUGUAGCGGUGAAAUGCGUAGAUAUUGGGAGGAACACCGGUGGCGAAGGCGGCUACCUGGACCGGUUCUGACGCUGAUGCGCGAAAGCGUGGGGAGCAAACAGGAUUAGAUACCCCAGUAGUCUC